rnacentral:rRNA from 1 species
UAAUACGUAGGUGGCGAGCGUUGUCCGGAAUUACUGGGUGUAAAGGGCGUGUAGGCGGGUUUGCAAGUCAGAUGUGAAAUUCCAGGGCUCAACCCUGGCGCUGCAUCUGAAACUGCAGAUCUUGAGUGCUGGAGAGGGAAGCGGGAUUCCUAGUGUAGCGGUGAAAUGCGUAGAUAUUAGGAGGAACACCAGUGGCGAAGGCGGCUUUCUGGACAGUAACUGACGCUGAGGCGCGAAAGCGUGGGGAGCAAACAGGAUUAGAUACCCUGGUAGUCCACGCUGUAAACGAUGGAUACUAGGUGUAGGAGGUAUCGACCCCUUCUGUGCCGGAGUUAACACAAUAAGUAUCCCACCUGGGGAGUACGGCCGCAAGGUU